rnacentral:rRNA from 1 species
ACACGGAGGUUGCGAGCGUUAAUCGGAAUUACUGGGCGUAAAGCGCGCGUAGGCGGUUUGGUCAGUCGGAUGUGAAAGCCCCAGGCUCAACCUGGGAAUGGCAUUCGAUACUGCCUGACUAGAGUAUGGUAGAGGGAAGUGGAAUUUCCGGUGUAGCGGUGAAAUGCGUAGAUAUCGGAAGGAACACCAGUGGCGAAGGCGACUUCCUGGGCCAAUACUGACGCUGAGGUGCGAAAGCGUGGGGAGCAAACAGGAUUAGAAACCCCAGUAGUCC